GGGAGCCAGCCGCCGAAGGUGGGGUAGAUGAUUGGGGUGAAGUCGUAACAAGGUAGCCGUAUCGGAAGGUGCGGCUGGAUCACCUCCUUUCUAUGGAGA
rnacentral:rRNA from 1 species